rnacentral:rRNA from 1 species
GUCGAGAAUAAUUCACAAUGGGGGAAACCCUGAUGGUGCAACGCCGCGUGGAGGAUGAAGGUCUUCGGAUUGUAAACUCCUGUCAUCUGGGAGUAAGACCUGACGGUGAAUAGCCGGCAGGGUUGAUAGUACCAGAAGAGGAAGGGACGGCUAACUUCGUGCCAGCAGCCGCGGUAAUACGAAGGUCCCAAGCGUUGUUCGGAAUCACUGGGCGUAAAGGGAGCGUAGGCGGCGUGGUAAGUCAGAUGUGAAAUCCCGGGGCUCAACCCCGGAACUGCAUCCGAUACUGCCAUGCUUGAGGGUUGGAGAGGUAGCUGGAAUUCUCGGUGUAGCAGUGAAAUGCGUGGAUAUCGAGAGGAACACUCGUGGCGAAGGCGAGCUACUGGACAACAUCUGACGCUGAGGCUCGAAGGCCAGGGGAGCGAAAGGGAUUAGAAACCCCGGUAGUCC